rnacentral:lncRNA from 1 species
AAAGAGGCACUGAUUGAGAUGAGAUUGAAAAUGUGUUGUGCUGGGCAUAGUAUAAACAUGCUUAAAGUCUAAUCCUUACAAAGUUUACAAUCUAAACCAGCAAGACAGUCAGAAGUCAGGAGAGCAAGAAUAGGUAAACCACCCUGUCUGCACUCAUGCAACUUGACAGCAGCUUAAAUUUGGGUUAAAACUUUCCAGCUUUCCAGAUUGCCAAGUUAUUUCCAUAUGCAGUAAAUCAUGUUUCCCCUAUGAAGUAUUUUCUGUGCUAAUACUUUUCCUGAUGAGUUCAAAAUGCCACAAGUGUCAAUAUUUAUAGUUUCUAUUAUUUACUACAUAUUUUACUGCUUAGUAGCACUACCAACAAUUUAUUUAGAUAUUCUCUUUUUACAUUCUUUGAUUCUGUAGUAAUUCAUUCUAUCCUCUUUGAUCAUUCAAAAUAGUUCAUCUACAUCUUUUUUACUUUCAUAUUCUAGUUGGUGCCUCUUUACAUUGCUCAGACAAGUGAAACACAGAUAAUAUUUUAAAAAUUAUUUCUGUGCUUGGUGUGGUCUAAAUAUUCCAUGAAUUGUGGGACAGUCUUUCUUUCAGAAAUAUUCAGAACACAUCUGUUCUCUGGUGUCCGAUGACAUGGUCCUCAGAUUUUGGUCUUGGUUUCUACCAGUAUUUCCAUGUUGUUGUCUCCACAAUAAAAGAAAUACAUUUUCACAGUGCAAGUUUACAGCUCUUCUGGCUAUAUAAAACAAGAAUUGACAAACAAAACGUGGCUUCAGACUUGACUGUAAGGACUAGCAGUGCUUAUCUUCAUAUGACAGCAGUAUCAUUUACUAAUUACUUAUUACUACAUUUUGUUAGUACUUAGAAAUAUGGUUUUGUGGAUCUGUAAUCUCAUGUAAUGCAAUUAUAAACAUACGACAAAAUAAUUUGGUCCUAAGGACCUCUGUUCAGUAACGACAGUACCAAGUUUGCCAUUUCAUGUUUUUCCUAAUGAUUUAAGUCACCUUUCAAAAUGGAAAAAAAUGUUAGUUCUAUUUUAUUUUUGAUAGAAAUCACAUCCAAAGCUGACCUAUUUCUCAUUGUUAUACAUUCCUUCUUAUUUUUGAGGUAGUAGGUAUGAACAUACUAAAAUAGUAUUAGUCUGACAUACUGACUGUGCCAUAAAAAUAAAUAAUGUAUUUUGAGUAGAUUGUUAUAUUCA